rnacentral:misc_RNA from 1 species
CAACCCUCAAGCUCUGCUUGGCGUUGGGCCCUGCCAACUCGUGGCCGGCCCUAAAGACAGUGGCGGCGCGGCUCGGCUCUAAGCGUAGUACGUCUCUCGCUCCAGGGCCUAGCCGUAGCCAGCCAGAACCCCCAACUUCUAUGG